rnacentral:RNase_P_RNA from 1 species
GAAGCUGACCAGACAGUCGCCGCUUCGUCGUCGUCCUCCUUCGGGGGGGAGACGGGCGGAGGGGAGGAAAGUCCGGGCUCCAUAGGGCAAGGUGCCAGGUAACGCCUGGGGGGUGUCACAGCCCACGACCAGUGCAACAGAGAGCAAACCGCCGAUGGCCCGCGCAAGCGGGAUCAGGUAAGGGGUGAAAGGGUGCGGUAAGAGCGCACCGCGCGGCUGGUAACAGUCCGCGGCACGGUAAACUCCACCCGGAGCAAGGCCAAAUAGGGGUUCAUAAGGUACGGCCCGUACUGAACCCGGGUAGGCUGCUUGAGCCAGUGAGCGAUUGCUGGCCUAGAUGAAUGACUGUCCACGACAGAACCCGGCUUAUCGGUCAGUUUCACCU